rnacentral:snRNA from 1 species
AACCCUUAAACUUAUAACUAAGGAAAAUAACAAUUUGGGGUGAUGCCCGAAUCCGCACUGCUAAUGUGAGACGAAUUUUUUAGCAGGUAAAGGUUGGCCCUAUGGUGACCCACCUACUCUGCAGGAUGCCUGGGAGUCACGAUCUGCUCA